rnacentral:rRNA from 1 species
CCUACGGGUGGCUGCAGUGGGGAAUAUUGCACAAUGGGGGAAACCCUGAUGCAGCGACGCCGCGUGAGUGAAGAAGUAUCUCGGUACGUAAAGCCCUAUCAGCAGGGAAGAAAAUGACGGUACCUGACUAAGAAGCCCUGGCUAACUACGUGCCAGCAGCCGCGGCAAUACGUAGGGGGCAAGCGUUAUCCGGAUUUACUGGGUGUAAAGGGAGCGUAGACGGCAGCACAAGUCUGGAGUGAAAUCCCGGGGCUUAACCCCGGAACUGCUUUGGAAACUGUGCGGCUGGAGUGCAGGAGAGGUAGGCGGAAUUCCUAGAGUAGCGGUGAAAUGCGUAGAUAUGAGGAGGAACACCGGUGGCGAAGGCGGCUUACUGGACUGUGACUGACGUUGAGGCUCGAGAGCGUGGGGAGCAAACAGGAUUAGAUACCCUAGUAGUC